rnacentral:rRNA from 1 species
UACGGGAGGCAGCAGUGGGGAAUAUUGCACAAUGGGCGCAAGCCUGAUGCAGCCAUGCCGCGUGUAUGAAAAAGGCCUUCGGGUUGUAAAAUACUUUCAGUCGUGAGGAAGGUGUUAAGGUUAAUAACCUUAGCAAUUGACGUUAGCGACAGAAGAAGCACCGGCUAACUCCGUGCCAGCAGCCGCGGUAAUACGGAGGGUGCGAGCGUUAAUCGGAAUUACUGGGCGUAAAGGGCACGCAGGCGGUUAAUUAAGUUGGAUGUGAAAUCCCCGGGCUUAACCUGGGAAUGGCAUUCAAGACUGGUUAGCUAGAGUCUUGUAGAGGGGGUAGAAUUCCAUGUGUAGCGGUGAAAUGCGUAGAGAUGUGGAGGAAUACCGGUGGCGAAGGCGGCCCCUGGACAAAGACUGACGCUCAUGUGCGAAAGCGUGGGGAGCAAACAGGGAUUAGAUACC